UACGGAGGGUGCAAGCGUUGUCCGGAAUUAUUGGGUGUAAAGGGUGCGCAGGCGGAAGCAUGCGUCGAGGGUGAAAGAUCACCGCUUAACGGUGAAAGGGCCUUCGAUACGGUGUUUCUUGAGUCCAGAAGAGGCCGGUGGAAUUCGUGGUGUAGCGGUGAAAUGCAUAGAGAUCACGAAGAACACCAGUGGCGAAAGCGGCCGGCUGGUCUGGAACUGACGCUCAGGCACGAGAGCGUGGGGAGCGAACAGG
rnacentral:rRNA from 1 species